UGUCAAUGAGAAAAUAUCAUCCAUGGGAUACAAGAGAGAUCAAUAUCAGCUUCCUUAUUUACUUGCAGGUGCUGGUAACACACAUGGGAUCUCCCUAGGAGCCAGUCGAACUCAAGCAUCUGGCUUUUCAGAAAAAUUAUACAGUGCAGCGUGAACUGAGCAAAACCUGGAUCCUGACAUUGUUCUGCUUGGUUGUGAGAUGAAGGCAUAGAGAGUUACCUUACAGUGGUAUAUUGAAGAAUAUGAAGUCAGGAGCAGAACUGGGAGGAAACUCUAGAUCUCUUAAACUCCAGCUCAGCACAAGAGAAAAGAAAAGCUUUACCAUCUGAUGAUAAGGAGCUAUCAAGCUGUUUCCUGCCUUUGAGUGCUAGUCCACAUACGCAUUCAGACGCAACCAGGAAAACAAGAUCCAAAACAAAAAGCAACCUCCAGCAGCUUAAAGUGAAGGGGUGGAAGGAGCUUCCAAAUUUGUAUUUGUUAUUAGAAAGAGAGAUUGAUGUGUUACAAGACACAGUUUUUUAUGACAGAAUCAAUCAACUUAUCAAGCUGUUCUGGAAGAACAAACUCCAGCGUAAAAUUAAAGUACUGUAGAGACAGUUACAUUUUUGUCAUACUUGUGCAACAUUUUCACGUUCAGGAGAUAAACUGGAAAUCAUUCUGUUUUUAACUACAUUUAAGAAAAGAAUAAUAUUAUUAAGGAAAUAGUAUGCAUGUAUGUAUUUAUUCUGUCCCUGUUCUUUGCAUGUUUGUUCUCUUGAACCAUCAGGAGACUGAGGAGAAAAAGUG
rnacentral:lncRNA from 1 species